AAGUCAGAUGGGAUGGAGUCACCACAGAAGCUGGGGCGGAAGACGCCAGGCCCACAGUGCCAGCAGGAGCAGAGGGGAUGAAGGCAGAGUGUCUGAAGCACCGCCACAGUCCUGGGCAUUUUCCUGGAAGGCCAGAGAGGUAAGAGGCGUUAGGAGAGAGGUGGCCCUCCCAGCCCAAGGGCUGGCGUGCACAGCAUGGAUGCACACAGACAGAGCAGCCUGGGGGAUGGCGAGGUUUCAAAGAGGAGGCGAAAGCUACCUUUUUUUCGAGCUCUUAGGGACAGUAGAGACUGCUUGCUUAAAUCUUUAGGGCCUUCCUUUCAUUAUUGUGUGGAGCAGACAUCAUCUCCGAGAGCACCUCUGGGGCCAUAGUUUGCCCCAGCAGCCACACCCAGCUGAGACUGGGUAGGAAGGUCCCUAGCUUAGGGCUUAAUAAAUUCCAAUCUCUGUUGUCACUGACCAAGUCACGGUGAGUAGCGCUGAGGUAGCAGGAGUAAGGAUUUCAGGGGAAGCUCACUCAGCCCCAGGCCCUAGGAAGUACAGAUACCCUUGGUCCUUUCUCCUUUCUCUCCAUUUUCCUUUGCCCCUCGCCCCCGCUCCCUGCAACUGACCUGGAACUCCCUUGCUUGCCACCGUCCCUUAUUUCGUGUCUCACACAACAUAAUUGUGAAUGCAGGGCUCUCCCAGCGGGAGGGACACAUACAGCCGUGUCAUCAGAGUCUAGAAACAUUCACGUCCCAAGAAGCCGCACACAGAACAUAAUUAGGGGUCGAAGACCACGCCUCUCAGUUCACAGCCCGCACCUCGGGAUGGAAGGCAUGGCAGGAGCCUGGUCGUCUCCGGGGCUUCUGGGAGCGCAUCCUGUUGCACUUGACGGAGGCGAUAUAUUUGACUUCUGUGGCCUCCUGGAGGAUGGGAGAGUAGGCGCUGCAGUCACAGGUACGGUCUGUCACUAGCAGGAGCAGGUUGCUGCUGGGAAUCUGUUGCAUCACGAAUGUCCUGCAGCAGAGACAGCAAUGAAUGGGCUCUGAGUAGUAGGAGUGCAGCCUCCAAAAGUUCUCCGGGGAGAGACCUGGGGCACUGGGAAGGAUGUGCAGUCACAGGAAUAUUGAGACCAGUAGCCCAAUACUUUUACACGAGCCUUCACAAUAGCACUCAUCCAUUCUAGCCUGGAGAAGGUGAAGAGGGAGCUGUCAUUAGCAUGCAUACAGGGAUCAUUUCCAGCACACAGGAAUAUUAUCUGAGAGCCAGAGAGUGUGCAGUUCUGGGCUUGGCCACAAGAUGGCACCAUGCUCCUAUAUACAGCUUGUGGUGGGGGUGGGGGUUAGAGAAAGGUCUUUAUGUGCAGGGUAAGGAGGUGCUACAUACACAGUUGAGAAGGUUAUCACCAAGCAUUUUGUAUGGUGGUGGGUGAUGUUAGACACACACAGGUCUAGAGCACACAUAUAAACUCACAUGUGGCCAUUACACUAAUUUGCGAACUUGGUGUAGUUCCCAUGAUGCACAGGACAAAACUAGCUAGAAGAAGUAAGCCUGCCUACGGUUGUACUAGAAGUGGAAAAGAUUGGAGGCAGAGUCAAGACUGUCUGCUGGGAAGCCCUUACUCUCUAUCAUCCCCUUGAUGGUUUCAAGCCUGAGGUAAACACGCCAAUAGUGCUAGUCCCAGGAAGGAAGAGGCAGAAACCUAGAUCUAAGGCCAGAAUCCGGGGUUACAAAUCGUUGGCAUAGGUCUGUGGUUUCCCAGACAUCCUGGUGGUCCUAGUAAGCUGCAAGACUGGCCGAGAGAGCUCCCUGGAGGUACUGUCUGUCCUCUUGGGUUGGGACAGAUGUCUCUGGGUCUGUGUCUCCAAAGUUUGGGGUGGGAAGUCAGUAGUCUUGGCCUUCCAAGUCAGUCUGGAUGAAGCUAGGGACUUCUACCCAGGAGCUAGCCUGACUGGAUCCCGCUUAGAAAUUCUAGGCUUGGGCUGGCGAUGCCCCGGGCUCUGACAGCUCCAAGGCCCCCAAAACGACACUGUGCUUUGCUGAGAACACCCCAGACCUGCACAUAGCUUCUGCUUUGUAUAGGGCAGAACCUUCUGCCAUUUUCCUGGUCUGUCACGUAAGUGUUUAAGGCACAUCCUUGCUGAGGCUGAUCUGCCCCUAGCAGAAGGGAAGCAAGCCUUCCGGGGUUUCCAAGAGAGACCCCGUGGUCUUGGAUUCAGACUCACAGACAUGGGAAUUGGCCUCUAGACCCUUGUCCUUGUGUCUCCUAAAGCAGACAACCAAAGUCCCCUCCCCUCUGCCUGAGUCUGGGUUUUUGCUGUACUGAACAUCGGGAUGCUAAGGAGGGCAACUCUUCUCUGAGAUGUCACUUCUUUUCUCCUGAGGAGACCCUCCUGUGCUGCCUGGAGACUUACUUCUGGCAGCCCCCACACUCGAUGAUCCCGUUGGCCUCCCGGAUGGCCGUCUGGUGCACGAACACUGGGUACUCUGUGUCACAGGGGUGCAGGAGGUCUUGCUUCUUGUGCUUGUGGGCUGUGGGUGACAGAGGAAUGUGAAGAGGGUUACCACACAUCACAAAGGCCCUCGGAAGCCCAUCUACAAGGGUGACGCAUUUUAGUUUGCUUCAAGGGUCGGGGAUACAGCAGACCAGCACUCCAGCGUGGUGAGGUGCAGUGGCACUGCUGUGGAGAGUGGAGGCCCUGCUGAGCUGCUACUGUUUCGCCCCUUCCAGGGCCUCUGAGAUUUAUCUCUGGAGCAUCUGCCGGCACUGUGCAGCACUGGGGUCCCAAAGCAUCAACACACUUUACCCCUUACAGCCCAGCUGCAAAGAAGGGAGGGGAGGAAGGUGGCAGUAACCAUUUUAAGCACCCGGAAAUGGGGGUGCAAAUACGAUGUCGCUUUUGCAAGGUCACACGAGGACUGAGGAGAGUCACAGGUCUCCAUGCCUGGACCCAGAGACAAUGAGGCUAAGAGAGAUGGCAGGCUUCAGGCUAAAGUUCCUGUGGGAGGGGAAAGCAGCCACAGCUCAGCUGGCUUCCCUUCCUGUUGACACUACUGGGCAUCCCUGCGCCUGGCCUUUCGGGGUCAGAGGCUGGAAGCCUCCUAACAUGGCUCUUCUCCUACCAGGCCUAAAGUUGGGCUAUUCUCCUGUCACUGGAGAGGACCUUCUAGUGCUGAUACCUAUACUCUGCCUGUCCCCGCAGAGUAGGACCAGGUGGCUUCCUUCAGGUUUCCUGUCGACCCUGCAGAGCCUGCAGGUGGGAGGAGCACAUCUGGCUGCAUCCUGAGCCUACAGCGAGUGAGAAGACCUAACUCAUGGCUUCUGUCACUGUUCCAGUUAGGCUCUGUGAGAACUGCUGGAGACUUCCCACCACUGCCAGGAGUCAUGAAGGUGAACACAUCCAGGAACUGCAGGGCCAAGGGCCUGCCCUGGUCAGCGGCAGCCAAAGGGGUGGAGGGGAAGGAGGGGGCAUCAUUUAUAUUAGAAAGCCAAAGGAGGCAGUGGCAGUCUUUUUGCUACCAGCUGUGCAGAAGCCAGAGACUGCUUAGCAGGGUGGGCGGAAGUCAGGCACCAUUAUGGCUCAAGAGCCCCACAUCUCCGGGACCCGGGUGCCAUUUGUGUCUUCAUUUAUAAAGAAGAGAUGUUCUUUCCCAGCAGCUGGGACAACAUUUUCCUUUGCUUUGUGUCAGGGCCACCUCCACAUGCCAUCGUCUUGGAGGCACUGUGGCCUUAGGCACAAUUCAUUCAAGUGCUAUCCUAGAGGAUACUCAUUCAAACCUGGAGCCUUGCUGAAGCUGGCAGGUGCCUGGGCACAGGGGCCACUGCUUUUGUCUCCGGAGUGACCUGGUGGCAUCUCAACUACAGAACGGGUCACACCUCCCUUUAAUUAUUGGAACCUCUCAAGAGUCGAUGGCUGUUUCCUAAGGCAGGACUGGCUAUACUUAUGUGGCCUGAAGCCUGGGUUUCCUUGCUUCCCAGAAAUGGUGCUUUAAAGUGGAUUAAGUGUUUGGGGACACCCCGUCCCCCUAACCAAGGAGUGUCCUAGGGUAAAGAACUCAGAUGUAGAGACUCAGCCUGCUUGUGCUCACUCCCUGGACACAGCUUAAGGCAAGCGCCACAGCUCCCUGGUGUACCCAGAUGAGAUAGGGUCGUUCAGUCAGAACUACUUACAGUGAUGGAAGACAGCUUUGGCUGCUCAGGGCAUGAGCCCACCACAGGGUUGGACAUGGCACGGGAAAAGCACGGCGUCACAUGAGGGCAAGAUGAUGUCACAGGGCAGUGAUGAUGUCACACGGAGCCAAGGUGUUCAGAGGUGAUGUGACGUCACACACAGAGGUGAGGGAGCCCGGAGUGAGGGGAAGGUGAUGGAUGAGAAUGAACAUGAAUGCUUCGAUACCCACCCCGCUGUCACUGACCUCUCGAGCUUACCAAAGCGCUGCCCACACCUGCCUCCUUGCACUUACCCUCUGACCCUUUGUCCUGCCAAGAUCCCCAAGCACUCCACUCGAACAGGAAUCUGCGGGACACAGAGCAUGGUCUUGGGGGCUGGCAUGCGUGGCUCUCGGGCCACUGCAUCCAGCUGCCACCUGUGGGAACCAGUCUUUCUGCAUGAGGGCAUGAGGGAAGGAAGGGACAGGGUGGGAUCCCAUGCCUCCCUUUUCCCUUGGCCAGGGAGCCUGGCUACCUUCUGGGUCAUUGGCUGCCUGUUCUAAGGAUAUCCUCCUGCUCCAGUCUCCAUAUGCCUUCCUACCUGUUACCCAAUCAUGACCCGGUCUUCCCACAAAGGGGAUUCUCUUCACCUGGGACGCCCUUGCCCCAACCCAAGAUUCACUCCCCCCAUCAACAGGGAGCCCUCUCCUUUGAUCCCAGCCUCAUGAUCUAGUUCCCAGGUGCAAGGACCCUUCCCUUUCCUUCCCCUGACCCCCGACCCAUUCCCCAGCAUGGGCCAUUCUUCAACAACCCCUACUCACAGCAGACAUUCAUGUAGUAGCCACUUGGCCACCGUCAGGAAGGCAGAGAGAGGCUGGAGGAGAGAACUACUUCAGGGAAACACCAGGUGACGUCCUGUAACAGCUACCCUCCAGAUCCCACCUGGCCGUACCCGCAGAGGGAGCACCAAAGCAGAGUGCUCCUUCUGUAUGUCAGCCACCCUGCACAAGGGCCUUCUGAAGGUCGGACACCCCACAGUGGGCUCUGACAAGCCCUUCAGGUGACUGGUCAUUUCCUAUCUCUGGUGGGCCAGUGAUGAGGACCCCUGAAGAUCUUAACAUCAGGCUGUGAGGAAAGGACGCUCUUAGUGUCUGGAGACCACUAUCCUACCCAUACUGCCCCUAGGACAGGACAGCCCCACAGCCUCAGGGGAAGGGGUGAGCAGCAUCAGGACGGAGUCCAGAGCAGCCUGAGCCUGAAGGUCUGAGGCUGGAUGAGAACAGGACCAGGUGACAUUCUCAAGGACUCAGUAGAGGAUGUGCCCUGGUAGAGGAAAGGCCUGGAGUGACGACACUCACACUGAUCAGGGAUUCGGCUGCACUGUGGUGGUGAUCCGGGGGCUUGCACAUGGCUUGGUAGUCAUACAUGGUCACACUGAAAUGCAAAAGCAGGCUGUGUCGAACACAAAAUCACUCCAUGCCCUGGCCUGGAGGCCUCGGCAGCGGAACUGGAUCCAUGGGGGCAACCAAGUUAGAAGAAUGAACCAGAAACCAGCUCCCGCCAGGAUGGCACACCGUGCUUAGGUGGUUUCAAGAGAACAUGAGCUGCAUGCUUGUUGGUGUAGCCUGUGGUUUUCCUUAGAGCACCGAGCUGAGGCUGGAGAGCCCAUCUGAGGACCAGGGAGAGCUGCGUUCCACUUACCGGCUGAACACCCCCAUGCUGAGAAGCUGCGUCAUGAGAGCACCAUCCGCUUCCCCCAGAAGUCUUCCAAUCUGUGGGGGGGGGGGGCUAGAACUACUAGAGUGUCUGUAGACUCUUCCAUGGACUCGACACUCCUUCAUGCAACCCUCUCUACUUCCCAGCAGCCCUCCCCAUCCCCGACUGCCCGCUGCAAUGCUUUCUAAAUCAUAAUGUCAUUUGCAGGUGGUAAUGACAUCAGCCCAGAGGGUGCUCAAAACAAAACAACUAAAUGCCCUAACCAAGAAAUCAACCCCCCCUCCAAAUAAAGCCCAAAAUGGUACAGAGUUCCUUCAAACA